rnacentral:misc_RNA from 1 species
UGAUGAUGAUGUAAGAUAUCUAGAGAUGGUUCUUCAUCCUUGGGAUGCAGGUCUGGAAAUGUUCAAGACAUACUUCGAUUGAAUUGCAGGGGGGAAAAGGGAAGCAGAGAUCAAGGAGAAGAGAUGGAGAGGGGGCAAUAAAAAAAUAAAAUUAUUGUUUUUUGUUCUAAUUAAUUAAUAAUACAGUUUUAUUAUUUAUUCCAAUUUUGAUUGCUAGGAUCAACUUGCAACCAACUUCCCAAAUCAAGCUAAGAUUGUUAAAAGUUUAAAGGUUUGAUCCAAAUUCAAAAAAUGCACAAACGUUUUGGAUUUUAUUGAUCAUCUGGCCGAUUAACAUUAACAAGCAACCUAGGACUACAUAGGACCAAAUUAGAGAGAGAAAGAGAGAGAGAGA